rnacentral:snRNA from 1 species
CCUGGUCCAAUUCUCACAAUUCA